GAUGAACGCUGGCGGCGUGCCUAAUACAUGCAAGUCGAGCGAACAGACGAGGAGCUUGCUCCUCUGACGUUAGCGGCGGACGGGUGAGUAACACGUGGAUAACCUACCUAUAAGACUGGGAUAACUUCGGGAAACCGGAGCUAAUACCGGAUAAUAUAUUGAACCGCAUGGUUCAAUAGUGAAAGACGGUUUUGCUGGCACUUAUAGAUGGAUCCGCGCCGCAUUAGCUAGUUGGUAAGGUAACGGCUUACCAAGGCAACGAUGCGUAGCCGACCUGAGAGGUGGAUCGGCCACACUGGAACUGAGCCACGGUCCAGACUACUACGGGAGGCAGCAGUAGGGAAUGUGCCGCAAUGGGCGAAAGCCUGACGGAGCAACGCCGCGUGUGUGAUGAAGGUCUUCGGAUCGUAAAACUCUGUUAUUAGGGAAGAACAAAUGUGUAAGUAACUAUGCACGUCUUGACGGUACCUAAUCAGAAAGCCACGGCUAACUACGUG
rnacentral:rRNA from 1 species